rnacentral:rRNA from 1 species
UGGGGAAUUUUGGACAAUGGGCGCAAGCCUGAUCCAGCAAUGCCGCGUGCAGGAUGAAGGCCUUCGGGUUGUAAACUGCUUUUGUACGGAACGAAAAAGCUCUCUCUAAUACAGGGGGUGAAUGACGGUACCGUAAGAAUAAGCACCGGCUAACUACGUGCCAGCAGCCGCGGUAAUACGUAGGGUGCAAGCGUUAAUCGGAAUUACUGGGCGUAAAGCGUGCGCAGGCGGUCAUGUAAGACAGAGGUGAAAUCCCCGGGCUCAACCUGGGAACUGCCUUUGUGACUGCAUAGCUGGAGUACGGCAGAGGGGGAUGGAAUUCCGCGUGUAGCAGUGAAAUGCGUAGAUAUGCGGAGGAACACCGAUGGCGAAGGCAAUCCCCUGGGCCUGUACUGACGCUCAUGCACGAAAGCGUGGGGAGCAAACA